rnacentral:misc_RNA from 1 species
UUUCCGUAGGUGACCUGCGGAAGGAUCAUUAGUGAGUUGUCAUGGGGUUCGAUGCUGGCAGCCAGUUUUUGGAUGCAUGUGCUUGCCCUAACAAUCAUCUUCUUCCAAACACCUGUGCACAUUUUUGAGGGAGUCUUGAGUUGGUUGCCGCUCUUGGGUGAUUUUCUCACAUUCCCUUAAAUCAUUAUACGCUAUUAACAAUGUUGAACGUGCUCUGUGCCGCAAGGCCAUUAAUAUAAUACAACUUUUAACAACGGAUCUCUUGGCUCUC